rnacentral:misc_RNA from 1 species
AAGUCGUAACAAGGUUUCCGUAGGUGAACCUGCGGAAGGAUCAUUAACACGUAUCCACGUAUCAACCCCUAGUGUCACGAGUGCGCGCUGUUUACGGCGCGUGCUCAGUUUUCUCUUUCGUUUUCUCCACAAUGAAUUUUAACCACUUGAACCCAUCAGACUAAAAAAUUACUUCGUGCUUUUUUUGCGCUUGCGCAAAAAAAACCGAAACAAUAAAAUAACAAGAAACAACUCUUAGCGACGGAUUUCUUGGCUCCC